UUCUGUAGGUGGUUUUUUUUCAAAUAUUUAUUGGGCAGGCAACGAAAAAAUUAUACACGCAUUUCAACAAAUUCUCGAAAUAUCCCAACGACACAUUGUCCGAAACGACGGUCGUACCAUAUUGUUAUUAUGACGUGGACAUUACGGCUGGAUUUUAUAGUCUUUUUAUUGUUUUUUCUUUUUGGGCGGGUUUUUUUUAUUCAUAGGAGUCUUUGAAUUCAGUUUUCGGUAACAAGAGUCCUACCCACUAUUUAAAAUAGACGA